ensembl:lncRNA
GAGGGUGUCCGCCCUCGUCUCGUGCCUCACCGGGAGAGCCCUGGAGUGGGCCAACGCCGUGUGGAGAGAGGGUGUCCGCCCUCGUCUCGUGCCUCACCGGGAGAGCCCUGGAGUGGGCCACCGCCGUGUGGAGAGAGGGUGUCCGCCCUCGUCUCGUGCCUCACCGGGAGAGCCCUGGAGUGGGCCAACGCCGUGUGGAGAGAGGGUGUCCGCCCUCGUCUCGUGCCUCACCGGGAGAGCCCUGGAGUGGGCCAACGCCGUGUGGAGAGAGGUGGGGGACCGGGAGCUGUUGGCUGUCGUAAAGGCCUUGAAUGCGUGGAGACAUUGGCUUGAGGGGGCUAAACACCCUUUUCUCAUCUGGACUGACCACCGAAAUCUGGAGUACAUCCGGGCAGCGAGGAGACUGAACCCUCGUCAGGCAAGGUGGGCCAUGUUUUUCACCUGUUUUGUUUUCACCCUGUCCUACAGACCAGGCUCCCAGAACGUGAAGGCAGACGCUCUGUCCCGGCUGUAUGACUCAUGUGGGGGGUCCACGGAUCCCACUCCCAUACUUCUGGCCUCCUGCCUGGUAGCGCCGGAGGUGUCGGAGCUGGAUGCGGACAUUGAGCAGGCGUUGUGUGCAGAACCCGCUCCCAUCCAGUGUCCUGCUGUGCGUCUGUAUGUCCCGUCUGCUGUCCGUGACCGGUUGAUCUAUUGGGCCCACACGUCACCCUCCUCUGGUCAUCCUGGUAUUGGUCGGACAGUGCGCUGUUUGAGUGGGAAGUACUGGUGGCCUACCUUGACUAAGGACGUGAGGGUUUAUGUUUCCUCCUGCUCUGUGUGCGCCCAGUGUAAGGCUCCUAGGCACCUGUCCAGAGGGAAGCUACACCCCUUACCCUUUUCACCACGAGAGUAAUGGGCAGGUGGAGAAAGUAAACCAGGAUGUGGUGCGUACUGGGCUACCAGCCGGGUCUGGCAUCGUGGCGGCAGAGUCAGACCGAGGCUCCUGCGGUGGACGACUGGUUCAGGCUCGCGGAGGAGACAUGGGAAGCUGCUCGUGUUCACCUUCAGCGGGCCGUGCUGCGCCAGAAAGACAGCGCAGACCGUCACCGC